rnacentral:lncRNA from 1 species
UGGAAAUUUUGUUCAUACAUUUAAAAUUCACUUUUAAUUAACAUUUGAAUUAAAAAAUUAUCUAAUUUAAAACUCUCUUGUGUUUCUAUGUUAACAGUAAGUCCUAUUCCUGAAUCUUCACCUCAAAGUGAUUCUGUUAGUGCAAUGUGUCAGCAGCUAAGUUUUGGUUUAUCCCUGUUGACAAAUAAAGAUGAUCUCUCUCUGAACAACAACAAUCAGAAAAAUUCUUCGACUGCUUUACUAGAUGACAUUUUCUCUAACCCUCCUGUGAUGGAAACAGUAUCAAAUCCUGCAAUUACGUCCGUGUUACCAGAAGCUCCAAAAAUCGAGCGGCCUUCGACUGACGUAUCGCUAAAUAUGACGCCACAGCAUCCUGUCCCUGUGAAAAGCACAAAUCCAUUCGUAUCUAGCAGCCCAAUGUUGCCUCGACCCCUUCCCAGACAAAACACAAAUCCAUUCAUAACGAGUAGUCCAACAUCCAACAUUAGUUCUAUAAAGGUGUUCGAAGCGCAUCUGUAG